CAAUAGCGUAUAUUAAUGUUGUUGCAGUUAAAAAGCUCGUAGUUGGAUUCCUGGCUCGGGGUAGCCGGUCCGCCUUGCAAAAGGUGCGCACUGUGCGGCCUCGGCCAUCCUUUAGAAAAGCGGUUCUGGCAUUCAGUUGUCGGGGUCGGGCUUCUAAACGUUUACUGUGAAAAAUCAGAGUGUUCAACGCAGGCUUACGCCUUGAAUACAUUAGCAUGGAAUAAUGAGAUAGGACUUUGGCGGUCUAUUUUGUUGGUUUGCACGCCGAAGUAAUGAUUAACAGGGACGGUUGGGGUUCUUUGUAUUCAAUUGUCAGAGGUGAAAUUCUUGGAUUUAUGGAAGACAAACUGCUGCGAAAGCGUCGAACAAGGACGUUCUCAUUAAUCAAGAACGAAAGUUAGGGGAUCGAAGAUGAUUAGAUACCAU
rnacentral:rRNA from 1 species